UUAAUACAGAAAUGAAUAGUUUGUGAGGGCAGUAGCACUGAUAACAGCCAAUAGUGUCACAUAGCUGAGUAAAAUGGACACUUUUUAUUGGAUAUUAAAUCCAAUAUAAAUCACACCCGUUAGCUUGAAUUGUUCAAUUAAGUUUUUAAUUUACAACAAUUCACUGUUUAGUGAAUAAACCUUAGUAAAAAGUUCAAAGUCAAAAAGUAUUUUUAACCGACUGAUAUACUUUAGUGAUGUUUAGUGAUAUUUUUCCUGGCCUCGUGACAGGCAUAGUUAAACUAACUAACCACGAAAUACAUACUUACUUUAUUGUAGUAAACACCCAGCAUGUUAGUUCAGAUAUAAACAUUUUGUAUUCGUUUUAAUUUUUACAUAUUUAUAAUUUUAAUUCAGUUGUUUCUUGCAUGACAAUCAUAUUACAAGGUCCUACAACAGCCGCUGCUAAGUGUAGCUUUUUAAACUAUUAACAGCUUAGGCUGCUCCAAAACAGUGCCUGGAAAGGAGACUACUGUCUAAGUUUGAACUUCACAGGCAUUCUAAAAAAAAUCUUUGUCCAGGAUUUUAUUUCAUUCUUUUAUAGUACGUUAGGAGAAUGUGUAAGAAAAGCCAUGAGACAUAGAGGAUAGCCAUGCCUUUGCAUAUUUAUUUUUAACACAAUAAAAAUACUUUUUUUUUUUUGCUUUUAUUUCGGUAAUUGGAGCAAAAGUAAAAAUAAAUAAAUAAGUAAAGUAAAAUAGAUAAAUAAAAUACUUAAGUUAGUCUAGGAAUAUAAAGCCCACUAUUUUCAGUUACAGAACUUUGCUGCCAAAUUAAAUACAUUGCAAAACUUGGGCAAAAAUAGUCAGUUUGGAAAAAUCUCCAACUCAUCUGUAGUCACGGCAAUAUUUCAAAUGUGCAAAUAGGGACACUUUAAUUUUAGGGGUGUGAAUAGUGGUGUGCCCAGGGGUGGGGCUGUUCUGAGAAAUGUUAGGGUACUCACUAAUAAUUUAUGCAACUAAAAUGCAUUUUAGAACAAGAACAGUGUAUCUUAUUUACACAGACUGAUUUCUAAACACAUUUAUUGUAGUUUAAAGACACAUUACUGGGAGUAUUAUUGCUGUGGAGCUCUGUUAUACACACAGACACAUUACUGGGAGUAUUAUUGCUGUGGAGCU